rnacentral:rRNA from 1 species
GGUGAUUACCUGGUUAUACUAGUGAUUUAGUAUAAGAUUAACUAUGUUAAAUAAAGUUCUAAGUAGGUAUUGAUUAUGACAGUAUUUGCUUAUGUCUUGACCAAGUCACGUGCCAGCAGUCGCGGUAAUACGUGGAAGAUUAGUGUUAUUCAUAUUUAAAAGGUUUAAAGGGUACCUAGACGGUUAAUCAAACACAUAUAUGUAUUAAUUAACUAGAGUUUAAUGUAAGAAAGAUAGAGUACGGUGAGUGUAGAGAUAAAAUUUUAUGAUACCACUUAGGAACUGGUAAGGCGAAGGCAACUUUCUAUGUAAAAACUGACGUUAAGGGACGAAGGCACGAUUAAAAUAAUAGGAUUAGAUACCCUAGUAUUGCGAGCAGUAAAUGAUGAGUGUCAUAUGCAAGAAAUUUUUUGUGUAUAAAUGAAAGUGUAAGCACUCCACCUCAAGAGUAACGUGGCAACACGGGAACUGAAAUCAUUAGACCGUUUCUGAAACUCGUAGUGAAGUAUGUUGUUUAAUUUGAUGAUCCUCAAAUAACCUUACCACAAUUUGAAUUACAUCUCUCAGUUUCUGCUGAGUGGUGUAACAAGCGUUGCACGGCUGUCUUCAGUUAAUGUUGUGAAACUAUGGUUAGAUCCAUUAAAUUGACG